rnacentral:misc_RNA from 1 species
GUGUUUUGUUUGUUUUGGUUUAAGAAAGAGUAAAGACCGCGUGAAUAAUGAAAGAAAGAUAGGCACGCGGCCCAGCCGGUGUCCCUGGGCGGGCCCAGGCCAGCAGGCAGCAUGCCUUGGAUCGAUACCACAGGUGUGGGUAAGAAAAGGACGAAUCAGUGAUGAUCCUUCCGCAGGUUCACCUACGGAAA